GUCCUAGUACAGGAACUUUAUGUCCGUUAUUCAAUGUAAUAGUUGGUACCGCCAUCCUAUUGCGUCAAAGUGUAGUAUUCAAUAGUUACUUCUAAAAUACAAAUACAGAACGUUACAUGGGUCCCCAAUUAACUGUAGGAUUUUGUUGAAAUCGUGUUAACCUGUUUUGUCUGGAUACUGGAUUUGCUAGAGGAUGUAUAUCAAAUGAAACAU